AGCGAACGCUGGCGGCAGGCCUAACACAUGCAAGUCGAACGGACCUUUCGGGGUUAGUGGCGGACGGGUGAGUAACACGUGGGAACGUGCCUUUAGGUUCGGAAUAGCUCCUGGAAACGGGUGGUAAUGCCGAAUGUGCCCUUCGGGGGAAAGAUUUAUCGCCUUUGGAGCGGCCCGCGUCUGAUUAGCUAGUUGGUUGAGGUAACGGCUCACCAAGGCGACGAUCAGUAGCUGGUCUGAGAGGAUGGCCAGCCACAUUGGGACUGAGACACGGCCCAAACUCCGACGGGAGGCAGCAGUGGGGAAUCUUGCGCAAUGGGCGAAAGCCUGACGCAGCCAUGCCGCGUGAAUGAUGAAGGUCUUAGGAUUGUAAAAUUCUUUCACCGGGGACGAUAAUGACGGUACCCGGAGAAGAAGCCCCGGCUAACUUCGUG
rnacentral:rRNA from 1 species